rnacentral:rRNA from 1 species
GAUGAACGCUGGCGGCGUGCCUAAUACAUGCAAGUCGAGCGAACUGAUUAGAAGCUUGCUUCUAUGACGUUAGCGGCGGACGGGUGAGUAACACGUGGGCAACCUGCCUGUAAGACUGGGAUAACUUCGGGAAACCGAAGCUAAUACCGGAUAGGAUCUUCUCCUUCAUGGGAGAUGAUUGAAAGAUGGUUUCGGCUAUCACUUACAGAUGGGCCCGCGGACCAUUAGCUUGUUGGUAGGGUAACGGUCUACCAAGGCCAAGAUGGUUAGCUGGUCUGAGAGGAUGAUCAGCCACACUGGAACUGAGACACGGUCCAGACUCCUACGGGAGGCAGCAGGGAGGGAUAUUGCGCAAUGGGGGCAACCCUGACGCAGCAACGCCGCGUGGGUGAAGAAGGCUUUCGGGUUGUAAAGCCCUGUCAGGUGGGAAGAAACCUUUGCAGGUGAAUAGUCUGCGAAACUGACGGUACCACCAAAGGAAGCGCCGGCUAACUCCGUGCCAGCCGCCGCGGUAA